rnacentral:lncRNA from 1 species
UUAGGAUUUAUGCCCUUCACUAGAGGGGGGGGUGAAUAGUGAGGCACGAGAAUGUCGGUAAAUUUUGCGGAAUUAAAAUUGCAGUAGUAAAGUAAGUGCAGAAAGUAAAAGUGUAAGGAGAGGAUACACCGAUAUAUACUGGUUCGCCACAACGUGUGGUUACGUCCAGUCUCUUGAGAGACUCUCUCGAGUUUCAACUAAUUCCGUUAAGCUUACGGGUGCUCAACAAACCGUNNNN